AUCUAGUAUAAUAUGACUUUCGUUAUAUUUGUCUUUUCUUAAAAUUUGAAUCUCUUUGAAGUUCAUCUCUAAUUUUUUUUAUUGCAUCAAAAACUCUUGGUGUUGUCUUUUCGAUAUACAUACAAAAGUUAUGAAGAGUUCUAGACGCGAUAAUUGCUUCCUUACGUGUCACUAUUUCAGAAAGUUUCACAUUAUCGUCUUCAAGUUCUUCACCAACAUUAUAGACAGAAAUCAUAAUUUCUUCUAAAAACUCUGAAUUUUUAAGUAUGCUUCAUUUGCACCUAGAUAUUCGAGUUGUCUAUUGACAUUUAUUCUAUUUUGAAAGAAAAUAGUGUUGUAUUUUGCUUAAAUAUUUCUAUAAAUUGAU
rnacentral:sRNA from 1 species